UACGGAGGGGGCUAGCGUUGUUCGGAAUUACUGGGCGUAAAGGGCGCGUAGGCGGCGUGUCAAGUCAGGCGUGAAAGCCCCGGGCUCAACCUGGGAACCGCGCUUGAGACUGGCAUGCUCGAGUUCGGGAGAGGAUGGUGGAAUUCCCAGUGUAGAGGUGAAAUUCGUAGAUAUUGGGAAGAACACCGAUGGCGAAGGCAGCCAUCUGGACCGACACUGACGCUGAGGCGCGAAAGCGUGGGGAGCGAACAGG
rnacentral:rRNA from 1 species